GGCAGCACCAAUAACUUCAAGAUGGGCACUGAAGAGGCUCCUUAUGGAGUUUACUAGCCAUUUGGGCAAGAAACUGCUCUUGCCUGGACUGCUUGAUGUUAUGCUGUGUGAGCUGGAUGUGCGGGAUCCACGGAGGGAUGACUGCUGAACUUGCCUAAAGGAGAUUGGGUGGCUGGGAAAUGAACAAGCAGCCUCCUACCACAUCAAGACCUGUGUGUAAAGCCAUUGCCUUUGCUGCAUGUGCUGUAGCAGGUCAUUUAAGCUCUGUAGGCCAUAUGGACAGUAACAGCAUCCAUGUCAAGAAUGGUGUGAGGAUUCAUCACUCCAUUAAUAAAGCAGCUCAAUGCUUAUUAAUCAUUAUGGUGACAGUGAUGCUGACAGCAUCCAUGAAUUUCAGAGUUCCCUGUCAGAAGCAGCCUUGAGUGGCUAGUUUCCUGUGGACUGACGUGGCUGCCUCUUCCUUCCCCGCCUUGCCAGGAACAUGCAUUGAGCGUAAGGGAAAAUGGUAUUACUGUACUUCCAGAAGCUGCUUUCGGAAGAAUAACACAACCUGUGGAUUUAUGAACUAGGCCGAUGUGGGAAAACGGGCCUGGAGAAAUCCACGAGCCUCUCCAUCAACCAACUCCCUCUCGUGUUGGACUCUAGGGUGAAGACCCAAGACUGAUUCUGCUUCCAUGCUUGAUAGCUGUGUGACCAGGGCCAGUUCCUUAACCUCUCUGAGCCUCAACUUUCUCACUUGUAAGCCAAAUGAGAACAAAGGGUGAUGUCUACAAAGUCAGAAAUGUCAGAUGGUGUCAGUGGAACAAGCUGGUUUCUGGAAACCCGAGAAAGACUGAUAACUGCUGGAUGGUGGUGGAACAUCCUAGCACUUGGGAGAGAGAGGCAGGCAGAUUUCUGAGUUCAAGGACAGCCAGGGCUGUUAAACAGAGAAACCCUGUCUCAAAAAAACAACCAACCAACCAAUUAACCAAACCAACCAAUUAACCAAAACAACAAAAACCAGAAAGAAAGGCUGAUAAAAGCUCACAAAAGCCCACCAUUAGAUUUAUUCUAAUCCUUACUUCUAGAACCCACUGUGGUGUUUUGAAUAGGAAUGGCCCCCAUAAACUUGUGUGUGUAGCGGCACUGUUAGGAGUUGUGGCCCUGUUGAAGUAGGCGUGGCCUUGUUGGAUUAGGUGUGGCCCUGUUGGAGUAGGUGUGGCAUUGUUGGAGUAGGAGGUGUGUCACUGUGGGGGUGGGCUUUGAGGUCUUAAAAGCUCAAGUUCUACCCAGUGUGGUAACAGUUCACUUCUGCUACCUGUGGAUCAAAAUGUAGAACUCUCAGCUACCUCUCCAUUGCCAUGUCUGCCUGCACGCCGCCAUGAUUCUUGCCAUGGUGGUAAUGACUAAAUCUCUGUAGUGUAAGCGAGCACCAAUUAAAUGUUUUCUUUUGUAAGA